rnacentral:rRNA from 1 species
GACGAACGCUGGCGGCGUGCUUAACACAUGCAAGUCGAACGGAAAGGCCCUGCUUUUGUGGGGUGCUCGAGUGGCGAACGGGUUAGUAACACGUGAGUAACCUGCCCUUGACUUUGGGAUAACUUCAGGAAACUGGGGCUAAUACCGGAUAGGAGCUCCUGCUGCAUGGUGGGGGUUGGAAAGUUUCGGCGGUUGGGGAUGGACUCGCGGCUUAUCAGCUUGUUGGUGGGGUAGUGGCUUACCAAGGCUUUGACGGGUAGCCGGCCUGAGAGGGUGACCGGCCACAUUGGGACUGAGAUACGGCCCAGACUCCUACGGGAGGCAGCAGUGGGGAAUAUUGCACAAUGGGCGGAAGCCUGAUGCAGCAACGCCGCGUGAGGGAUGACGGCCUUCGGGUUGUAAACCGCUUUCGCCUGUGACGAAGCGUGAGUGACGGUAAUGGGUAAAGAAGCACCGGCUAACUACGUG